rnacentral:rRNA from 1 species
CCUACGGGGGCAGCAGUGGGGAAUAUUGCACAAUGGGGGAAACCCUGAUGCAGCAACGCCGCGUGAGUGAAGAAGUAUUUCGGUAUGUAAAGCUCUAUCAGCAGGGAAGAAGAUGACGGUACCUGAGUAAGAAGCCCCGGCUAACUACGUGCCAGCAGCCGCGGUAAUACGUAGGGGGCAAGCGUUAUCCGGAUUUACUGGGUGUAAAGGGAGCGUAGACGGUGAGACAAGUCUGAUGUGAAAGCCCGG